rnacentral:rRNA from 1 species
UACUCCUACGGGACGCAGCAGUGAGGAAUAUUGGUCGAUGGGCUUACGCCUGAACCAGCCAAGUCGCGUGAGGGAAGACUGCCCUAUGGGUUGUAAACCUCUUUUGUCAGGGAGCAACGCCGGCUACGUGUAGCCGGACUGAGAGUACCUGAAGAAAAAGCAUCGGCUAACUCCGUGCCAGCAGCCGCGGUAAUACGGAGGAUGCGAGCAUUAUCCGGAAUAAUUGGGUUUAAAGGGUGCGUAGGCGGAAUGCCAAGUCAGCGGUAAAUU